UUGAGCAUGUGUUAAUAUAGUAUGGCCCAGAUCCUCUGCUGCCCAAAGGUCAGCUUGGUGCAGCAGAGAAGCAGAUAUGGCCUCCUGACUCUCAGACCAGAUUCUUGCUGAGGGCUUCUCUAACCUACCCCAGUUAGCACUGGUCUCCAAGGGAACAUAUACCAGCUGGGGAUUGCCAGGGCACAUGAUCUACCAGCCCCCUCAACACACCCUACCCCCAACAUGCAAGAAGGAAGAGGAUGUCACAAAAGCGGAGUAUGGCAGGUCUGCACCAGCUGAUAGCAUCCCCCUAUUAGGAAUGAGGACCCACAGUUGAGAUCAUAUGGGAUCCUGAGUGAGAAGAGAGGAGUCCACAAGGGAAUCCCUCUACUAAGAUUUGGUCAACACUAUUAAACAAAGUAAAUGUAUUCAAUGGAAUUCUUACAAUUCACUGGGACAAAAAGUCUUCCAAGAUGCCUCCAUAAUUAGAGGGAGAAUUCUAAAAGGCUGUGUUUUAAGGAUCAGUGAUGUAAAAUGACACAGAAUUCUCCAGUGAUGUCACUGGUAGCACUUUGUGUGAAAUGGAGACUGGAAAAAAAGAUUUUUGCUCUUAGAUGCAUCUUCUGCACCAGAACCAUUCUUCUGUACUCAAGCACAGCAGUGGAUGCAAUGAUGUUGAGCAUAGUUGCACUACAUUUUGGAAUGGGCUGAUUUGUCUUAGGCUAUUACUGUCUAUUACUGCUGGAAGUCUCGGGGAAAGGUGGGAAGCGGCGAAUUCUGGCUAUCUGCCUAAAGAGAAAUCAAUGAAACAAAUUAAUCCUUCGCAGGCUGCAAUGACACAGUAAUCCAUCAUUCAGAGCUGCUUUUAUACACCAAAUCAGAGAGCAGAGGAAAGAGCCCAGGGGGACAUCACAGACAACAACUUACACCAACACUGGGAAAAUACUAAGGAAUCCGUUUAUUUAAAGAGGAUAGAUUUCAGUUGAUUGCCUAUUUCAUCCUAUAAAGAUUUUUCUUCCAUCCUGUUGUGAACCCUGAAUGGCUAUAUCUUCUGAACACUCGGCUCUCUGGAAGUUGGCUUCCAUCAAUUGACUGUGAAUAGGGUUUGAAUAAAUUAGUACUUUAACCACGAUGGGCAGGUAGCGGAAAAAGUUACAUAUUCAGUUCGGUUUCCAGCCGUUUGCAGCUCCAGUCUGCUCCCCCUGUAAUCGGUAUCUCACGGAGAUCAGGGAAUGCAGGAUCAGGCCCCUACUGCAUUUUCUGCUUUCAGCAGGAAUGUGCCCAGGCUACAUGGGAUCCACCUUUCGAACUCAAUUUGGCUGCUGACGGAUUUAAGAUCUAACUCUUAAAAGGGGGUCUCGUCUCUUCUCUCCCCGCAGCUGCAAUCUCCAUCCACUUCAGCGGGAGUCGCACCCUUAUCUCCGAGGGGAGCGUGGGCUCCUUUGUGGCUUGUUAUCUCGUGUGUAUUGCUUAACAAGCAAGAAGGGAUUGUGCACUGCUAAGAGAGAUGGGAGGUCUGAAAUUCGGGGGAAACUGCAUCCUGCUGCGCGCAGGGCACCAUACUGGCAGGUGCUGAGAACAAGCAGCUCUGACUGAGAGCGUUUCCAGAGCCUAUAAUAGGAUAGGAUCCUCCACUGACCAGCAAAUUUUACAGAAGUCUAAGCCAGUGUCAUGUACUGAGAGCCACAGCUGUCUUAGCAUUACACAUGUAAAGCAACAUGUUUGGUGGAAUGUAAACCGAAGUAGCAGACUGGGGCGGGGCAAAGGAGAGCACAUAGAUUUGAACCAAAUCAUGAAUGAAGUACAGUAACUUUAAAAAAAAAUUCCAAAGGACGGAACGUAAAAGAGAGCGAGUGGGGUCAAAUAAGGCUGAGAUAGUUAUAGGUGGGCGAGAGAAACUGCUUGGAAUCUAAAGUGCAUGGACAUUUGCACGACCACACGAGAUUGUCCAGAUCUAAUCCUGUCUGGUGCUGCAGAUGAUAAACUCUCAGCAAUACGACUCAGUGAGGAUGUUGUUUAAGGGCAUGCAUUCGGAUGAGUCAGAUAUUAAAUUGCAUCUAUAUACCCUACUUUCCAGCAGGUGCUGUUAACCCAAAUCCUUUAUUUCAGUAAUGAAGAAGUAGCCCAUUUCAAUUUUAUGAGCGACAAAUGUAGCGAUCUCUAACUUUCCUUGUCUGCUGGAAGUUUCAAGGCAAACUUAUGUGACUUAUUGUUCAAACAAAGCAAAGGAAGCCCUCCUUAGCUCAUAGUGCUUAGCCUCCAGAAAUAUCUGGUAUACAAAGGGGGAUGUAAUUUAUAGAGGCGAGAGUUCAGAGUAGGGAAUCCAUGUACCCGAGACAGCAAUGUCUGACCACAUUAGAGCUGUCAAUGGAUCCCUCUGUUAUAAGGACUCCCACAAUAUCUGAUCUCGCCUGUCAAAGUCAGUGCAAAAUGCAACUAGCACAUACCUUCCGGAGCCCACGCUGUUGAUGGGAAGGAGCGCUGGUUAACGGUUAGAGCAGAAAAGUAGGUGGCUGAGACCUGUUUUAUUCCCAAUUCACUGUGUGUGUGACC